CCACUUCCGCUUAGCAUACGCAUUUGCAUUCGAAUCAUACCAAAUUUCAUUUCGAUCUAACAAGAUCUAGGUUUGUAGGCAGACCAGAGUUUGCUUUUUUGGUCACAUCUCCCCAAGCAAACCGGACUUUCUACAUAGAUUAAAUCGGACUGAACAUGGCUGGUGUGAAUGCAACCUAAAUUUAAUUUGAUAAAGUCCAGUAUCAUGGAUCUGGAGCUUAUUUAUGACACCAGGAUACUCAGACUUCUCCUCUAUCCCAACAACAACAUCAACGUUUCUUUAAGUUUGUGGGCCUGCUAUAUUGUAUGUAUAACUGCUGCUGAAUGCCUUGUGAUGUGGCUACUGCAUGAAAAACCAAGAAAACUAAGAAGCAGGGAGAAUAUUUUCCCCUCCAGGAUUCAGUUUCACGAGUGGACAGAUGCUGUGAAAAUCCGGUCCGUCACAGACGCAACAGAUUUUACAACCAGCACAUGGUACAGUGAACAGGCUGUUUUGCAGAUGGAGGAGGAAGUUUAAUCUGAUCCGACAGCGCUGUCUUUAAGUGGCUCUAAGCCCAAAAGCUACUGACAGUCACUGACACUAGUGAUUCAGCUGGAGGAUGCAAAAAAGUUGGAUGUAAACACCACCUGUGACUGGAGAGCCACGAAAAGAUCCUCCUGACUCCCAGGAUCAUCAACACUUCUGGACUGCCAGUCAAAUAAUCGCUGAGAGGCACAAAUCUGACUUGAUAUGAAAACAAAAAGGGUUGUUUUUUAAUUCUCAGCAUCCUGGGCUG